UGGGGAAUAUUGGACAAUGGGGGGAACCCUGAUCCAGCCAUGCCGCGUGUGUGAAGAAGGCCUUAUGGUUGUAAAGCACUUUAAGCGAGGAGGAGGGUACUGGUAUUAAUACUACCAGCUACUGGACGUUACUCGCAGAAUAAGCACCGGCUAACUCUGUGCCAGCAGCCGCGGUAAUACAGAGGGUGCGAGCGUUAAUCGGAUUUACUGGGCGUAAAGCGUGCGUAGGCGGCUAAUUGAGUCGGAUGUGAAAUCCCCGAGCUUAACUUAGGAAUUGCAUUCGAUACUGGUUAGCUAGAGUGUGGCAGAGGAUGGUAGAAUUCCAGGUGUAGCGGUGAAAUGCGUAGAGAUCUGGAGGAAUACCGAUGGCGAAGGCAGCCAUCUGGCCUAACACUGACGCUGAGGUACGAAAGCAUGGGGAGCAAACAGG
rnacentral:rRNA from 1 species